GACGUAGGGCGCGAGCGUUGUCCGGAUUUAUUGGGCGUAAAAGAGCUCGUAGGCGGCUCAGUAAGUCGGGUGUGAAACCUCCAGGCUCAACCUGGAGACGCCACCCGAUACUGCUGUGGCUUGAGUCCGGUAGGGGAGCGUGGAAUUCCUGGUGUAGCGGUGAAAUGCGCAGAUAUCAGGAGGAACACCAGCGGCGAAGGCGGCGCUCUGGGCCGGAACUGGCGCUGAGGAGCGAAAGCGUGGGUAGCAAACAGG
rnacentral:rRNA from 1 species